rnacentral:misc_RNA from 1 species
GUUCGAGCCUGGUGAGCCUUGAGUCAGGCACGCCUUUAAUAACUAUGAAGAGUAUAUACUUUGUAUAGUUUAACUUGGAACAAUAUCUAUUUUUUGGAGUAACUUGUACCUCCUGUAAAAUUCCAAUUACAUGUUUGGAUUCAAAUAAAUAUCUACAAAUCAUUGGGUAACAUAUUUCUGGUGAAUCUGGAAUUAAUUUAAGUUUCAUUGACACCUAAAUUAAAAGAAACUGUGGAAAAUAAAGCUUUCUUUCUGGCCAUUACCCAUAAAUAAUCAUAACUAACUUAAUCAUUUAAUAUCCUUCGGAGAAUGUUUUGAAAGAUUUUGGAUUAUCUAUUUUAUGAUUUAGACCAUGCACUUUACCUGCCUUGAACUUCAAACUGCCCUGCAUGGCUAGCGCAAAAUGGUUUUCUACAAGAUCUGUAUAGAAUGCCAACAUGGUAAAAACUAUAAAUGAACAUAAUUGUUUGUUUGGUUUUUGCUAUUCCCAUUGAAUAUGUCAAUGGGAAGGGCUUUGAUCCACAAUGAAGAAGAAAAGUUACUUUGUUUUCUGGUUGAAUAUUCUAUUCUCAAGCUUUUAAUUUUUCAAACUGGCUACAUCCAGGGAUCUUCUUUGAGGGUGUAUAACGGCUAUUGGUUGAAUUUAUCUUGCAAUUUUAAGAACAAAAUAUGGAGUAUGCUUAGUCAUCUCUUGGGACUAGAGUUCAUGAGGUAAUGCCUGACUGUGUAUUUUUUUUGCAGGUGGGUCGAUGAAGUGAU